rnacentral:rRNA from 1 species
GACGAACGCUGGCGGCGUGCUUAACACAUGCAAGUCGAACGGAAAGGCCCUGCUUUUGUGGGGUGCUCGAGUGGCGAACGGGUGAGUAACACGUGAGUAACCUGCCCUUGACUUUGGGAUAACUUCAGGAAACUGGGGCUAAUACCGGAUAGGAGCUCCUGCUGCAUGGCGGGGGGUGGAAAGUUUCGGCGGUUGGGGAUGGACUCGCGGCUUAUCAGCUUGUGGGUGGGGUAGUGGCUUGCCAAGGCUUUGACGGGUAGCCGGCCUGAGAGGGUGACCGGCCACCUUGGGACUGAGCUACGGGCCAGACUCCUGCGGGAGGCAGCAGUGGGGAAUAGUGCACGAUGGGCGGAAGCCUGAUGCAGCAACGCCGCGUGCGGGAUGACGGCCUUCGGGUUGUAAACCGCUUUCGCCUGUGACGAAGCGUGAGUGACGGUAAUGGGUAAAGAAGCACCGGCUAACUACGUG